GUGUCAGCAGCCGCGGUAAUACGUAGGGGGCAAGCGUUGUUCGGAAUUACUGGGCGUAAAGGGCGCGUAGGCGGCUUUAUAAGUGAGGUGUUAAAUCCUCAGGCUCAACCCGAGAACCGCACUUCAUACUGUUAAGCUUGAGUGCAGCAGAGGAGACUGGAAUUCAUGGUGUAGCAGUGAAAUGCGUAGAGAUCAUGAGGAAGACCAGUGGCGAAGGCGGGUCUCUGGGCAAUUCCUGACGCUGAGGCGCGAAAGCGUGGGGAGCAAACGGGAUUAGAUACCCGCGUAGUCC
rnacentral:rRNA from 1 species